UAGGGAAUCUUCCGCAAUGGACGCAAGUCUGACGGAGCAACGCCGCGUGAGUGAAGAAGGAUUUCGGUUCGUAAAACUCUGUUGUUAGAGAAGAACAGCGCAUAGAGUAACUGUUAUGCGUGUGACGGUAUCUAACCAGAAAGCCACGGCUAACUACGUGCCAGCAGCCGCGGUAAUACGUAGGUGGCAAGCGUUGUCCGGAUUUAUUGGGCGUAAAGCGAGCGCAGGCGGUCAAUUAAGUCUGAUGUGAAAGCCCUCGGCUCAACCGGGGAGGGUCAUUGGAAACUGGUUGACUUGAGUGCAGAAGAGGAGAGUGGAAUUCCAUGUGUAGCGGUGAAAUGCGUAGAUAUAUGGAGGAACACCAGUGGCGAAGGCGACUCUCUGGUCUGUAACUGACGCUGAGGUUCGAAAGCGUGGGUAGCAAACAGG
rnacentral:rRNA from 1 species